rnacentral:tRNA from 1 species
UGCGGGAUGGCGCAGUGGUAGCGCGGCGGCCUCAUAAGCCGCAGGCCCCGGGUUCGACUCCCGGUCCCGCCCCCA